GACUGAUUGACUUCACCUUUCCUCCUGUGGUUCUUACCCUGACAAUAGCUGCUGUAUAUAUGACUUACAGAUGGAGUUAUGAACUGGUCAGCAAUAAUAUUGUGUAGCAUGGAACAGAAGGUACUACUGACAAAAAACAUACCUGUAAAUGGGGGAAAAAUUGACAAGAUCUGUCUUUGGCAUAGAUCAGAAAAUUCCACUGUGGUGUUGGCAGGACUAACCCUGGCACAAAAACUG